UUAAAGACGAGUGUUAUUCAUGUUUAAUCGGUUUAAAGAGUCCCAAGACUGUUAAUAAAGCCUANCGGGACACAUUAACUAGAGUUAUAUGAAAGGGGGCUGAGAGGUACUGUCGGGUGGAGAGAUAAAAUUCAAUUAUACAGAUGAUGGCACCAACGAAUGCGAAGGCAUCCCCUUAUGUAAUAACUGACGUUUUCAGACGAAGGCUUAGGGAAGAAAAAUGGAUUAGAUACCCUCGUAUUCUAAGCAGAAAAUGAUGAAUGUCAUAGGUUGAAGAUAAAUAAUAUUUAUUUUGGUCUAUAAAUGAAAGUGUAAGCAUUCCACCUCAAGAGUAAUUUGGCAACAUUGGAACUGAAAUCAUUAGGCCGUUUUUGAAACCAGUAGUGAAGUAUGUUGUUUAAUUUGAUAACCCGCACAAAACCUUACCACUAUUUGUAUAAAUAUUUAUAUAUAUAUUUACAAGUGUUGCACGGCUGUCUUCAGUUAAUGUCGUGAGGCAAGGUUACUCCUAACAAUCAACGCAAACCCUUACUUUAUUUUUAUAUAAAGUUGUUCACCUCUUAUGGGAGAUGCUAAUAGGG
rnacentral:rRNA from 1 species